rnacentral:lncRNA from 1 species
GAUGGACAUAGAGCAUGAAUGGGGGAGAACGAUCACGACAGAGAAAAGAAAGAAGAAGAGUGUGCACGGCGAGCGUGGUAGGGUCUUGAUGAAGCGUCACCGUGCAAGGCAGGUAGCAAAGUCCACCCUAUUGCGGUUGAAGAAAGAGGCGAUGUACUGUGACCCUAUCGGGAAGUUCAUCCAUCCAGCCAGAAAUUCCCUCUUCUUUGCACCACACUUGGCAACCUUGAGGCUCAUGUUCAGACACCUCUUGAAUCAACAUUGCAAGAUGC